rnacentral:snoRNA from 1 species
UGCGGUGAUGAUUGUUUUAAUAUUUGCUACUACGGAGGGUCCUUUGGGGUCUCGGUGAGAACAUUUUAAACCACCAAGAUCGCUGAGCGCA